AGUCUGGUGCCAGCAGCCGCGGUAAUUCCAGCUCCUAUAGCGGAUUUUGAUUCUGCUGCAGUUAAAAAGCUCGUAGUUGGAUUUUGGUCUUUAGUACUACUGGAACCCUUCAGGUCUCUGACUUGUUCGGUUUAUCAGCUUGUACGGGACUUUCGCCUCCGGAGUGUUGUCGUGGUUAAUUCUACGGUUUCAGGAUGGGGGCCUUUUACUGUGAGGAAAUCUAGGUGCUCAAAGCGGGUUUUAUGCUCGAAAGCUUCAGCACGGAAUGAUAAGAUACGACAUGGUCGAUCUUGUUGGUUUUUCGAUUAUGUAAUGGUCAAAAGGAACAAUUGGGGUAUUUGUAUUGAUAUGUCAGAGGUGAAAUUCUUGGAUUAUAUCAAGACAAACGACUGCGAAAGCAUUUACCAAGGAUGUUUUCAUUAAUCAAGAACGAAAGUUGGGGGAUCGAAGAUGAUUAGAUACCAUCGUAGUCUCAACCGUAAACUAUGCCGACUAUCAAUUGUCACGCUUUUUUUGUAAGAGGCGUGGCAGCGGGUAAUGAGAAAUCAAAGUCUUUGGGUUCUGGGGGGAGUAUGAUCGCAAGAUUGAAACUUAAAGGAAUUGACGGAAGGGCACACCAGAGGUGGAGCUUGCGGCUUAAUUUGACCCAACACGGGAAAACUUACCAGGUCCGGACUUCAUUAGGAUUGACAGAUUGAAAGCUCUUUCAUGAUCUGAAGGGUGGUGGUGCAUGGCCGUUCUUAGUUGGUGGAGUGAUUUGUCUGGUUGAUUCCGUUAACGAACGAGACCUCGGCCUAUUAACUAGUUUACACUAUUUCACGAUAGCGCGAAACUUCUUAGAGGGACAUUAUGCUUUUAGUGUAAGGAAGUUCGAGGCAAUAACAGGUCUGUGAUGCCCUUAGAUGUUCUGGGUUGCACGCGUGCUACAAUGAAUUCGCCAAUAGGUUUUGUGCUUCCCCGAAAGGGGUCGCUAAUCCCAAAUUGGAUUCGUGAUGGGGCUUGAUUUUUUCAAUUAUGAAUCACCAACGAGGAAUCUCUAGUAAGCGUAGUUCAUCAGACUACGCUGAUUACGUCCCUGCCCUUUGUACACACCGCCCGUCGCACCUACCGAUUGUACGCUCGAAUGAAAUUUUGGGAUUCGAGAUCUUGAGCCGUUAAAAGCACAUAAUUUUGGAAAACUUAAUUGAAUUCGACUGUAUAGAGGAAGGUGAAGUC
rnacentral:rRNA from 1 species